rnacentral:rRNA from 1 species
UGAGGAAUAUUGGGCAAUGCCCGCAAGGGUGACCCAGCAACGCCGCGUGGAGGAUGAAUGUCGUAAGAUUGUAAACUCCUGUUAGAGGGGAAGAAUAGUACCGGUUGGACCGGUAUAUGACUGUACCCUCAGAGAAAGCCCCGGCUAACUACGUGCCAGCGGCCGCGGUAAUACGUAGGAUGCGAGCGUUGUCCGGAUUCACUGGGUGUAAAGGGAGCGCAGGCGGGCUUUCAAGUCAGUGGUGAAAUCUCACAGCUCAACUGUGAAAUUGCCGCUGAUACUGUAGGCCUUGAGUACGGAAAAGGGUGAUAGAAUUCAUGGUGUAGCGGCGAAAUGCGUAGAUAUCAUGAAGAAUACCAGUUGCGAAGGCGGUCACCUGGUCCGUUACUGACGCUCAUGCUCGAAAGUGUGGGGAGCAAACA